rnacentral:rRNA from 1 species
AUUGAACGCUGGCGGCGUGCCUAAUACAUGCAAGUAGGACGCAGUUGCGAACGGGUGAGUAACGCGUAGGUAACUGCCUAUUAGAGGGGGAUAACUAUUGGAAACGAUAGCUAAUACCGCAUACUAGUAGAUGGACCUGCGUUGUAUUAUCUAGUAGGUAGGGUAAUGGCCUACCUAGGCGAGGAUACAUAGCCGACCGGAGAGGGUGAGCGGCAACACUGGGACUGAGACACGGCCCAGACUCUUACGGGAUGCAGCAGGAGGUAAUCUUCGGCAAUGGGGGGAACCCUGACCGAGCAAAGCCGCGGGAGUGAAGAAGGGUUUCGGAUCGUAAAGCUCUGUUGUUAAGGAAGCGGUACUUAACCAGAAAGGGACGGCUAACUACGUGCCAGCAGCCGCGGUAAUUC